rnacentral:rRNA from 1 species
UACGAACUGUGCGAACGUUAUUCGGAAUCACUGGGCUUACAGGGUGCGUAGGCGGCUCAACAAGUCAGGUGUGAAAGCCCCCGGCUCAACCGGGGAACUGCGCUUGAAACUGUUAGGCUCGAGUCAGCUAGAGGUACACGGAACUUCCAGUGGAGCGGUGAAAUGUGUUGAUAUUGGAAGGAACACCGGAGGCGAAAGCGGUGUACUGGGGCUGGUCUGACGCUGAGGCACGAAGGCCAGGGGAGCAAACGGG